CCUACGGGAGGCAGCAGUGAGGAAUAUUGGUCAAUGGGCGCGAGCCUGAACCAGCCAAGUAGCGUGAAGGAUGACUGCCCUACGGGUUGUAAACUUCUUUUAUAAAGGAAUAAAGUGAGGCACGUGUGCCUUUUUGUAUGUACUUUAUGAAUAAGGAUCGGCUAACUCCGUGCCAUCAGCCGCGGUAAUACGGGGGAUCCGAGCGUUAUCCGGAUUUAUUGGGUUUAAAGGGAGCGUAGAUGAGUUGUUUAGUCAGUUGUGAAAGUUUGCGGCUCAACCGUAAAAUUGCAAUUGAUACUGGCAGUCUUGAGUACAGUUGAGGUAGGCGGAAUUCGUGGUGUAGCGGUGAAAUGCUUAGAUAUCACGAAGAACUCCGAUUGCGAAGGCAGCUUACUAAACUGCCACUGACAUUGAUGCUCGAAAGUGUGGGUAUCAAACAGGAUUAGAUACCCUUGUAGUC
rnacentral:rRNA from 1 species